GGGAGUAUAGCUCAACUGGCAGAGCAGGCGGCUUUUAACCGUCUGGUUGCGGGUUCAAGUCCUGCUGCUCCCA
rnacentral:tRNA from 2 species